rnacentral:lncRNA from 1 species
UAACUUGUGUUUUGGACUUCGGAGGAUAACUGAGUGAAAGUAUGUUUUAAAAUUUUAAAUUGGAGCCCUUUAAACUUUAAAGUGAGGAUUUAGAUCCAUGCGUUUUAUAAAAAUCAAAGUGCCUAGUUUAUGUGUUUUUGUAAUUAAAGGUUGUUAAAGUCAGUUUGUUAUUUAAUGGAUUACUUUUUUUUUUCUUUGGGUAAAGUCGAUCCAUUGCUAGAUCCAAUGCCUUAAAAAGGACUUUGUCAUAUAGUGCUUCUUCACCUCUUCUGGGAAUUCUUUUCCAAGUAACGUUAAGGAGAACAAAUUUUUAAAAUCAAAUUUAUAAAUCAAAUGAUGCGGUUGUUAAUGAUUAGAUUAUUAACUAAAUAUUGAUUAACGUGUUUAUUUCUUAUUGAUGACAUAUCAUUUAGUUUACACAUUUGGUUUUAAAAUUUGGUCUUCAAAUUUGGUCUUCAUAGCAUUACUCUUCUUUUCCGUGUAAAGUACGAGAAAUGUUAAGAAAUGUCAAGAAAAUUUGGUCUUCAUAGCAUUACUCUUAUUGAUGACAUCAUUUAGUUUACACAUUUGGUUUUAAAAUUUGGUCUUCAAAUUUGGUCUUCAUAGCAUUACUCUUCUUUUCCGUGUAAAGUACGAGAAAUGUUAAGAAAAUUCUCUUACAAAGUGAGACUUUUUAUUGAUUCUCUGUUAUUUUAUGUUUUUAGCACAAUAUUUUAUCGUAUUGUCACAAAAAUUGUGCCAAAAACAUAAGAUGACAAAUAAUCCAUAUAAAGUCUUAUUUUUGAGAAAGUCUUCGUAGCAUUUCCCUUAAAGUAUUAGAGAUUUAUGUAUUUCGCAGUAACUGAUUACAUGAUUAACAUAGGAGAGCCAGAAUUUUCACUCUGUGCUUGUAUGUUGUGCGCUAGAAUUUUCACUCUCCAAAGUUUACCCGUACUAUUGCUUGAGUGACACCCCUUGUCAAUUUGGAGUCUUUUAGAUCCAGCCAGCCAGCACAAUGAAAUGUGAAAAAAAACCCCUACUAUCUUCAUUAUUAAUUACAAAGUAAAAAUGUACUCGGACAAUUAUUAUUCACUAAGAGAAUAAUUAAUAGGAAAAUUAUUGCCUUAAUGGAGUGGACUUGCUCUAAUUUUGGAUAUCAGACUGUUAGGAAGAUUAAAUUUGUAAACAAAAUUUACAAACUAAGACCAUCUUCAACAGAUGUAUCAAAUUGUGGACAUAUAAUUUAAAUUUGAUAGCCUAUGUGACAUUUUGACAUAGUUUUUACUUCACUCUUCACCCGAUAUGUCAAAUUAAACUAUUAUUUUAUUAUAUAUAUUUUUCUUAAUUUCCAUUUUAUAUUUUUAAAUUUUACAUAUAUAAAUAAUUCAUUUUGUAAAGCAACUAAUUCCAACUUUUCUAAUUCUCUUCAUCAGACUCAGAAUUAACAAAACUUCAAAAAUGCUUCUCUGCUGAUCAAAAGAUGAGUCGAAAAAAAUUUGAGGCAGGUUCACAAAGUAAUGUAGGAUGUCUGUUGAAGCACGAACCAUUGUAUGAAAUUCUCAAACCACUGUAUUUCACAAAGCAUGUGUUGCUUAAAUUGAAAAGAA